rnacentral:rRNA from 1 species
ACUGCUCAGUAACACGUGGCUAACCUGCCCUUAGGACGAGAAUAACCCCGGGAAACUGGGGCUAAUGCUCGAUAGGUGAAGAACUCUGGAAUGAGUCUUCACUUAAAAGAGUCUGCGUUAUGCUCGUAGAUUUCGCUUAAGGAUGGGGCCGCGACCGAUCAGGUUGUUGGUGAGGUAAUGGCUCACCAAGCCUUUUACCGGUGCGGGCCGUGAGAGCGGGAGCCCGGAGAUGGGCACUGAGACAAGGGCCCAGGCCCUACGGGGCGCAGCAGUCGCGAAAAACUUUGCAAUACACGAAAGUGUGACAGGGCUAUCCCGAGUGCCAUCCGCUGAGGAAGGCUUAUACCCAGUCUAGAACGCUGGGGGAAUAAGGAGAGGGCAAGUCUGGUGUCAGCCGCCGCGGUAAUACCAGCUCUCCGAGUGGUGUGGAUGUUUAUUGGGCCUAAAGCAUCCGUAGCUGGCUAAGUUAGUCCCCUGUUAAAUCCAACGAAUUAAUCGUUGGAUCGCGGGGGAUACUGCUUGGCUAGGGGACGAGAGAGGCAGACGGUAUUUCCGGGGUAGGGGUGAAAUCCUAUAAUCCCGGGAAGACCACCAGUGGCGAAGGCUGUCUGCUAGAACGCGCCCGACGGUGAGGGAUGAAAGCUGGGGGAGCGAACCGGAUUAGAUACCCGGGUAGUCCCAGCUGUAAACGAUGCAGGCUAGGUGUUUGGACGGCCACGUGCCGUUCUAGUGCCGCAGGGAAGCUGUUAAGCCUGCCGCCUGGGGAGUACGAUCGCAAGAUUGAAACUUAAAGGAAUUGGCGGGGGAGCAC